UCGACUGCAUACUCGAUGACGAGC
rnacentral:siRNA from 1 species